UACGAAGGGGGGCUAGCGUUGUUCGGAAUUACUGGGCGUAAAGCGCACGUAGGCGGAUCGAUCAGUCAGGGGUGAAAUCCCAGAGCUCAACCCUGGAAUAGCCUUUGAUACUGGCUGUCUUGAGUGCGGGAGAGGUGUGUGGAACUCCGAGUGUAGAGGUGAAAUUCGUAGAUAUUCGGAAGAACACCAGUGGCGAAGGCGACACACUGGCCCGUAACUGACGCUGAGGCGCGAAAGCGUGGGGAGCAAACAGG
rnacentral:rRNA from 1 species